rnacentral:rRNA from 1 species
UGGGGAAUUUUGGACAAUGGGCGAAAGCCUGAUCCAGCAAUGCCGCGUGUGUGAAGAAGGCCUUCGGGUUGUAAAGCACUUUUGUCCGGAAAGAAAUCCUUGGCUCUAAUACAGUCGGGGGAUGACGGUACCGGAAGAAUAAGCACCGGCUAACUACGUGCCAGCAGCCGCGGUAAUACGUAGGGUGCAAGCGUUAAUCGGAAUUACUGGGCGUAAAGCGUGCGCAGGCGGUUUGCUAAGACCGAUGUGAAAUCCCCGGGCUCAACCUGGGAACUGCAUUGGCGACUGGCAGGCUAGAGUAUGGCAGAGGGGGGUAGAAUUCCACGUGUAGCAGUGAAAUGCGUAGAGAUGUGGAGGAAUACCGAUGGCGAAGGCAGCCCCCUGGGCCAAUACUGACGCUCAUGCACGAAAGCGUGGGGAGCAAACAGGAUUAGAUACCCUGGUAAUCCACGCCCUAAACGAUGUCAACUAGUUGUUGGGGAUUCAUUUCCUUAGUAACGUAGCUAACGCGUGAAGUUGACCGCCUGGGGAGUACGGUCGCAAGAUU